UAUAUUUAGCUUACUAGAUAUGUCAGGCGUCGGGGAGUCUCUCACCUCGCUCUUGAUCAGUUCACACAUAACGAUCAAACGUCGACUGCCGAUUUCUGGCUAAUCCCAGUGCAGGCCAAUCCCCGGGUCAAUCUGUCCCCGGAAAUCUUCCCGUUUUCAAAUAUGCUUUAAAAACACAUAGCAAGUGUGAAAUAAUUCCACACAGUAUGACCGCAAAAGUGUUUUAAACCAGUUGUGUGAGAGGACUUUCUGCUGUUAGUGGGACAGAGAUUAAGUGGACUAUGCUUUGAUGAACCUGGAGCAGAUGUUGGAAGACUUCAAGAUGCAAACAAGACUCACAGAGGCACGAUCAGAUCGGUUCAG